rnacentral:rRNA from 1 species
CGCCUAACACAUGCAAGUCGAACGAAGUAGCAAUACUUAGUGGCAGACGGGUGAGUAACAUGUGGGUAUCUACCCUUUGGCCUGGAAUAACACGAGGAAACUUGUGCUAAUACCGGAUAAGUCUUUACAGAGAAAGCUUUAUGCACCAUUGGAUGAGCCCGCACUUGAUUAGUUUGUUGGUGGGGUAAUGGCCUACCAAGACUGUGAUCAAUAGCUGAUUUGAGAGGAUGAUCAGCCACAUUGGGACUGAGACACGGCCCAAACUCCUACGGGAGGCAGCAGUGGGGAAUCUUGCACAAUGGAGGAAACUCUGAUGCAGCGAUGCCGCGUGAGUGAAGAAGGCCUUUGGGUUGUAAAGCUCUUUCGUCGGGGAAGAAAAUGACUGUACCCGAAUAAGAAGGUCCGGCUAACUUCGUGCCAGCAGCCGCGGUAAUACGAAGGGACCUAGCGUAGUUCGGAAUUACUGGGCUUAAAGAGUUCGUAGGUGGUUGAAAAAGUUGGUGGUGAAAUCCCAGAGCUUAACUCUGGAACUGCCAUCAAAACUUUUCAGCUAGAGUUUGAUAGAGGAAAGCAGAAUUUCUAGUGUAGAGGUGAAAUUCGUAGAUAUUAGAAAGAAUACCAAUUGCGAAGGCAGCUUUCUGGAUCAUUACUGACACUGAGGAACGAAAGCAUGGGUAGCGAAGAGGAUUAGAUACCCUCGUAGUCCAUGCCGUAAACGAUGUGUGUUAGACGUUGGAAAUUUAUUUUCAGUGUCGCAGCAAAAGCGAUAAACACACCGCCUGGGGA